rnacentral:lncRNA from 1 species
GAGGUGUCCUCAGGCACCCUGCCCAGCCCCAGCCUCGACUGGUGCUCUUUCCCUCCUCCCUCUGCGGGAGGAGGGGGAGUGGGUGUCCCCAUCAGGUGUGGUCAGCCCUUGGUCAGGAGCCCAUGGGCACCUCCCACUAGACAGCCCAGCCCUGGUCAAUGCCACACCAGUGGCUCUGGGAACUCAGCCCAGGAACAAUGGGGCCAUUCACUCAGCCUGGGCUUCACACAAUGACCCUCUUGGUCUAUCUCCGUGGCUAGACGGUGUGUGAGUGAGAGUGAGUGUGAGUGUGUGUGUGUGUGUGUGUGUGUGUGUGUGUGUAAGAGACAGAGGGGAACUGGAGGUAACUAGAGAGCCCAAACAGAGGCAGGAGAAAGAGUAGCAACCAGGGAUUUCAUGAUAUUCAUGCCGGUAUCUAUCCUAUGUGCCAGGCACUGUACUGGGUACUUGCAUUAUCUUCACAACAGCCCUGUGAGUCAGUCCCAAUAGAAGCCCCAUUUUCAAGCUAAGGAAACUGAGGUAGGGUCAUAGAAGUCAGAAUAACAGGAACAUCUUGGUGGUGGUAUCCUCUAGUUUUAUUUGGGUGGUGGUCCCAUGGGUGCAUACUUAUGCAAACAUUCAUUGUGCUGUCCACUGAAGAGUUGUCCAUUUUGUUGUCUGUAAAUUGCAUUUCAGUAAAAAAUAAAAUAAAAAUGAUGUUGCGUCAAUUGAAUUAAAUAUUACCCAUCCCUGAUUAAAGAAUGAGGAAGCUCUUUGUAUGCUAAUAUGCAUCUCCAAGAUACACUAUUUAAUGAAAAAGAGCAAUGUGCAAAACAUUGUUUUGCAGGUAGUAUGCAAACACAUAUUUUAUGUUUGUUAUUUAUUUAUUUAUUUAUUUAUUUAUUUAUUUAUUUAUUUAUUUUGAGACAGGGUCUCUCUCUGUCACCCAGGCUGGAAUGCAGUCAUGAGAUCAUGGCUCACUGAAGCCUCAACAUCCCGGGCUCAAGUUAUUCAAGUUAUUCCUCCCAUUCCUCCCAUUUCAGCCUCCCGAAUAGCUGAGCUUUUUUGUUUGUUUGUUUUUCUUUUUUGUUUUUGGUGAGAUGUGGUUUCGCCAUGUUGCCCAGGCUGGUCUCAAACUCUUGAGCUCAAGCAAUCCUCCUACCUCAGCUGCCCAAAAUGCUGUGAUUACAGGCAUGAACCACCAUGCCCAGCCCUGCAAACGCAUAUUUUAAAAUACCAUCUAUACAAAUCUGCUUGUGCAUGUAGAUUAUCUCCAGACAGACACGGAGAAACGAUGCUUCCUCUGGAAGAGCAGCCACGUGGCUGAGACAGAGGCAGGAGGAAGACUUUCCACGAUAUACCCUUUUUCUUAACCCAUGGGAGUGUAUUACUUAUUCAAAAAUUAAGUGAAAUUAAAACAAACAAUAAAACAGUGCCUGAGUUGCUGAUUCCAAAGCCAUUAUAUCAAUUGCUUCAAUGCACUUAAUUCCAAAGCAAAUGGCCUCUCCACUCCUCCCACUCCUUUCCAGCCCAUCUCCCUUCCUCAAACCCAACCAAACUGCACCUGGUUGUGGCUGUCCAGCUGGGGAAAGUUCAUGGCUGGUCUCCACAAUGGACCCUCCAGAACCCACUGCUGUCUGAGAGCCAGGCAGCUGGGCCAGAGCUAGAGCCCUCAAGAAGCUGCUAACCUCGAGAGCCAAGUGCCCCACUGGCUCCUGAAUGCAAUGAGUGCCACAGGGUGGCUGACAACUCACUGGGACCUUCCAGCUCAGGGUGACUCCCCAGGUCCCCAUGCAGCCCAGUGGUCUCCACCUUACUGUCACUGCCUCCCACGCUCCCUCCAUGGGUCAGCAGGCAAACCCAGCCCAGGCCUGGUCAUGAGGAAGAUCCCAGGUCCAGAGGCAUACCGAAAGUUAACAGUCAGGCAAUGAGUGCAGCGAGAGGCAGCCUACUAGAGGAAUCCAAGGCUUUAGAUGACCACAGCUGAGCCUGUGGCUUCUCAAAAAGAGCCAGCUUGGUUUACAGUCCUGGGUUCAAAUCCCAGUUCUGCCAUUUCCUGGCCACCAGACCUCAGACAAGUAACUUCGUCUCAUUGUGCCUCCAUUUUCUCAUCUACAAAAUGAAAACAGUGACACCCACCUGUUGGGAUUAUUGUGCCAGGGAAUGAGAUGCUGAUGACCCUAAGUCCUGAGCCUGUAGCAGAGUAGGUGAAUCUGAAAGAGAAACACUCACCACCACUGAGAACCAUGAUCUAAGCAGAGCUUUAGAGCAGUUUACAAAGUGCUGCUUGGGCGCAGCCUUCCAGAAGGAGGUGAUCGAGAGGAAGGCCCUGCCCCAGCUGGGACCCCAGGUCCCUCCUGGGCUCCUCCCUGACUGUGGGUUGUCAAGAAGGGUGUUGACAGGCCAAGGGGGGCCCAGGAUGUUGAAGGAUUUGGGAAUUUGAUUGCGGGUCUUAGGGCUGAGAGGCCGUAAAGCUCAUGGGGCCAAGGGGCCAUCUCCAGGUAUCCAAGAGUUACCAUGAAAAUAAUAAUAAUAAUAAUAAUAAUAAUAAUAAUAACGGGAGUUUGGGAGGGCCAGGGUUCAGUGCAGCAUAUCACCAUCACCUACCUGGCUUUCCUUAUCACACCAGAUUCCCUGGGGUGAAACUGAGUUGCUUUGAGCAAAUCACUGAGCCUCUGAGCCGUAUCUGUGCAGAUCCCAUGGACGUCCACGCCUGCACUCUCUGUGGACUCUCUGUGGACUCUGGUGGUGGCAGCAGUACCUGCCUCCCUCGCUCCCUGGGGUGGUGUCUCAUUGCCCUCUGAAGCCCCCACUCGGCCAAUAUGAAGGGUCACCUCUGUGUCUGGGUCUUAUGGUGGAUGUGGGAGAGGUGACGAUACACAAGCAGCUGCCCCUGCGGUGAAGGAGCUCCCAGGCCAGUGAGGUGGGGGUGGGCAGGGGUGGGGCAGACAGGCCAGAAAGUAAGGAACCAGGCCACAUGACAAAUGCCAGAACCAAGGAAGAAUCAAAUACCCUGGGACCUAGAGGAAGGGAUUUGUUCUACUCAUAAAGGGAAUCCCCUGCAGACCCCAAGGCCCCUGGCACUGGUCCACUUUGAGUGUCACAUCAACUGCUCCUGUCAACCACAGGGCAGCCAGGGAGGAGGCAGGGAGGUGAGAUAGACAGUAACAUCUCUGUUCUGCAGGUGAGCACACCGAGGCUCAGAGAAGACAGCUGGCUCAGAGCUAGAAUGGAAGCCCAGAGUCCCAAUGCCUGGGACCGGCUGCUCUUCAGCAGUCCUUUGGCCACUUAAUACGUCCCCACCCCACAGGACACCUUUCCAGGUCACUGGCUGCACCUGGCCAGGCCCAGCUCCUUUUGUGUAGGUAAGAAACUCUUCACCACCCAGGGUCCUUCCAUGGCAGGUGCAAACUAUAAACAGGCCCUUCUCUGGGAUGACUAGAGUCUCCGCAUACCCUAAAAUAGCCCUGUCCCUCACCCCUACCCAUGCCCCCACUCAAAUCUGAACCAGAAAUGCUGCCUCCAAAAGGCCCCUGUAAUGACUCAUCCAUCCAACAAGCACCACUGAGUGCCCCACCUCUGCCAGGUUCUCACUGGACCUAAGCAUCCUGCAGAGCCUGAGAAGAAAAUGAGGACUCUGGAAGGUUGGGGACACCAACCAGCCCAUCUCCUAGGCAUUCCAGAAAAGUCUUCCCUGGGGGCAAGUUAUCUCUGCCUAUCUCCAAAAUCAUUCAACUAUUAUUACUCAACUAUUUUCCAAGCGGUCCCAGAACACAUCUGUCCUAUGGGGUCUCUUCACAUUAAUGAUAAACUCUUUUUCACCCUCUAACAGAAAGACAUCUUUUUAAAGGGCAAAGCCUUCCAACCGCAGCCUGAAGAGUCCUGGGCCAGGCUGUGGAAACAGCAAAGAGGCACAUUCCAGGGUGGCUGGGUGCCUCACUGGCUUCCUGCCCCACUUCUCUGGCAAUAGUGGUAAAGACAGUCAAAGAGCGGGGACUGCUGGCCAGCAAGUGAGGGUGGAGGGAGGGAUGGAGAGCCCCUGGCCUGGGGUCUAGCUCCCGGGGCAGAGGGAGAAUGUCAGGGGCCUAAGACCCAAAGGAAGAGUAUUUAAAUAAGAGAGAUCUUUGUGUUGCAGAUACCUUCUUCAACCCACUGAACAGGUGGGGACCUAAGUCAAUGACCCAAUAACAGAGAAAAUGCUGCCCCCUACCCCCUCCCUCCUCCACUGCCCAAGUUCAGGAGAGCAGGCAUGGCUGACAUUCCCUCUAAUCCAGGGAUAUGUUGGGGGUAGGAAGGUGUGAUGGUUAAUAUUGAGUGUCAACUUGAUUGGAUUGAAGGAUGCAAAGUAUUGUUCCUGGGUGUGUCUGUGAGGGUGUUGCCAAACACCCUUUAACAUUUGAGUCACUGGGAGAGGCAGACCCACCCUCAAUCUGGGUGGGCACAAUCUAAUCAGCUGCCAGCGAGUCCAGAAUAAAAGCAGACAGAACAUGGAAAGACUAGACUGGCUAAGUCUUCCGGCCUCCAUCUUUCUCCUGUGCUGAAUGCUUCCUGCCCUCAAACAUUAGACUCCAAGCUCUUCAGCUCUUGGACUCUUGGACUUACACCAGUGAUUUGCCAGGGCCUCUCAGGCCUUCGACCACAGACUGAAGGCCGCACCAUCGGCUUCCCUACUUUUGAGGGUUUGGGACUUGGACUGGCUUCCUUGCUCCUCAGCUUGCAGAUGGCCUAUUGUGGGACUUCACCCUGUGGUUGUGUGAGUCAACUCUCCUAAUAAACUCCUCUUGAUAUUUGCAUCUGUCCUAUUAGUUCUGUCCCUUUAGAGAACCCUAAUACAGAAGGGUUUCAGUUAGACCACAAGAGCAACCUUCUGACUGUGACCUGGAAAAAGGCACCCAGGGCCUUCUGAAGGAGGAGCAGCUUUUACCCAAGGCCCCUGGGCCUGCUCCAUGGAUUUCCAAGUCAAUCUGGUUGGAGGCAGAGGGCCGCCCUAGCUCACCUUUAGAGUCCCUCCCCUUGGGGAAGAAGAGCCCCUAACAAGGAAGUGGGAAGCAACUGGCUCUUCUCACCCCCGCUCUGGGCCUGGUUUAAAUGAGGUGGUAUGGGGGAGGUAAUAGCACGUACUUCACAGGAGCAAGGGACAUAAAUGUGUAAAUAAAUCCUCUAACAAAGUAACACGCACAUGGCAGAUACUAAAUAAACACUAGCUAUUAUUUUAUUUUAUUUAUGUUUUAUUUAUUUUUUAAUUUUUUUAGACGGAGUUUUGCUCUGUUGCCCAGGCUGGAGUGCAAUGGCACCAUCUCGGCUCACUGCAACCUCCGCCUCCCAGGUUCAAGCGAUUCUCCUUCCUCAGCCUCCUGAGUAGCUGGGAUUACAGGUGUGCACCACCACACCCGGCUAACUUUUGUAUUUUUAGUAGACACAGGGUUUCACCAUGUGGCCAGGCUGGUCUCGAACUUCUGACCUCAAACGAUCCACCCAUCUCGGCCUCCCAAAGUGCUGGGAUUACAGGCGUGAGCCACCUCGACUGGCCACUAGCUAUUAUUUUAUUAUUAUGGUUUCAAGACCACCUGUGAAGGGUCCCUCUGCCAGCUCCUGCCCAUGUUCCCACAAUUAUUGACUCCCUCUGCCAACCAAUGAUACCUCUGCUCAAACUUGCAAAAAAAAACCAGAAAAAUCCUGGGUUCCUGCAAGGGCACUCCAGGUCUUGUCUGUAGAUGUGCAAAGCCUUUGAAGCCAGAGGUGGAGAGUGGAGGACAAUGGCGGAGAGGGGAGACUUUGGCCCCCAGGGAGAGCUGCAGGCAGCAGACGAGGGAUAGGGUUGGCCUCAGCAGGAGUGAGCAGACAGAGGGGGUGCUCAGACAGGCUGGAAAGAGAUUAGAGGGCUCAUUAAAGCCAGGGGUGGACACAAAAGCAUCCUACAGCCCCACAAGUACAGGCCCUUGUUUCGAAUGUGUCUUACAAAAAGGAAUAAAUGAAAAUAAGUGAACUCUGACAAGUGGGAAAAUGUUAAGGGCAUGCAGAGGGAAUUGUCAGCACCUCCACAUGGUGCCAGAGAACAGGACCCGCUCCAAGCUGGAGGGAACUUCCCAGAGCCUUUCAGCUAAUGCCAGCUCUCACCACUCCCUCAACAACCCCCUGGCCCCUUCACUCUAGGCCCCCUUCCUGCAGGGAGGAGGGGGAGCUCUCGAGGCACACGCCUUUGAGGCAGGGCAUGGUGAUCUCCUUUCUGAUCUGCCCCCAUCCCUACGCCCUGGGACAGCACAGUGACCUCAGUGGCUGCUGAUGGGUCAACAAUUUCCCAGAAGACCAAACUCAGGCAAAGUGCCAUUUAACAUGCUAAGCAGCCCUACAGUCUGCACAAACCCUUUGUAAGCCCCACCCUCCACCUGCCGUUUUGACACUGACUCAAUGCCUGUGGCUUCCAGAGGUGGCCCUGGCACCAGUCCUUCUGCUAGGCUAAUGCUGACGCCACCACAGGACUCCCCCUUGGUCAUUGCUGUGGGGCUGUUGGGCCACCGCUUUUCUCAAGAUGGCCUGGGCUACCCUGCCUGAUGUCACCCCAGGUACCACAGUCUGGGCUGUUGCCAUCCAUUUUAGAGGAGCCACUGAGGCCUGCUCUCCCCAUCUCAAGCUCCUCUGUCGCUGAGCAGCUACUCAGCUUUGGCGUCUCAUUCCAGUUAUGCCUUUCCAGCUUUGCCUCCAGUGAAAGUGGAAUCCAUCCCCUCGCUUUUUACACCCCGCCCACCUCCGUUUUGUUUCUUUAUAUGUUUACGCACCUGCCUCUCCCACUAGACUGAGAGCUCCUUGAAAUCAGAGUUCUAGUUCACUCAUCUCUUAAGCCCGGGGCCUAGUUCAGGGCCGGACUCCUCAUAGUAGGUGGUCACUAAGCAGCCACCAAGCGAAUCGCAGAGGUGACCAUGCAGUGCAAGGUCAAUGUGACCCAGGAAGAGAAUUCUUCCAAUGGACCCUGAAGCCGGGCACCAGGAACUUGAGCUCUGGCCUCAUCCCACCAACCCUCCCAUGCAUGAUGGGAAGGCAAACGCCAGCCUUUGUCCUUUGUAUAGAGGACCUCAACCUGAGCCUUGGAUGGGGAGAGACUCUCCCUGUCCUAGGGACAAAACCUUGUACACAGGGCUGCAAAAAAGCCUGUCUGGUUACUCACCAUGCCGCCCGCCAGCCCCUUCUCUUCAGGGACAGAGAAAAGGUGCAGCAGGAAGAAGGCUCAAGAAAAACCCCACUGGGCCUGCAGGUCCGCAGACUGCAUCCUUGAGAAGAGCCUCAGGUAUGGCUCUGAGAGUCCCACGAGUGACAAAUUGAGAAGGUGUCCAGGUAGAAAACUGUUAAUUAAAAAUAUAUAAUAAUAUAAAAAUAUGUAAUAAUAACAGCUGUAAAUUUGGAAAAGGAGAAGGUGACUUUAUUUCUUGUAAAGGAUUACAACUGCAAGGUGGCCUUCCCACGGGCUCAGAAGCACAGCCUCCAGCCAAGACCAGAGACAGGUAUUUCAAAGAAGGAGAGGCUGGGGUAGGAGCUUUAUGCUGAAAGGGUUGGCUGAACAUAAACAUUCAUCAGUUUACAGGAAGAGAAAGAGCUGUGAGUAUUCAUGAAGGUGGCCCUGACACAUGUAUAUUGAACAAACAUGUAUAUUACAAAUGACCUCUGUUUGCAUUGGGGUGGAGAUUUAAUAUGGAAGUGUAUUCCCAUUAGGCCCUAUAGGUCAAAGGGGCUUUUCAGGACACAAAGGUGCAUGAAUGCACAAUCUCUGUAAACUGACCAGAGUCGGUCCAUGGUCGGUGGCCAACUUAUCAGGAGAACGCUACCAAAAUCAGCCUCUUGCCCAAUCAAAGCUGUAGCUAUGGCUGGUGGAACAGCGGCUCAGGCAGUCAACAUCUGUGAACUGUGAUGAGCUGUAAUUGUCGUAAUAUUGCUUAUCUUGAGGCCAGUGCUUGUUUAGCUGCUAGAGAAAAAAACCUCGUGGCCAUUAGAACAUAGCUUAUUCUUUAAGUAUAGAUAGUGUGUGACUUACCCUUGCCUGGGGUCCUGUUUUUACCAAGCACCUAUUAUGGGCUAAGUGCCAUCAUUUCAUUUGCAUUGACACCCUGGAAGGUGAGUUCCUCCACUCUCAGGUGGGGGAAUUGACAAGCUGCAUGCAUUUUAUUAAAGUUUAUAAAGUAUUUUUGGAUCUAUGACUGCAUUUCACCCUCACUAGAUCCCUGUGAGGAAGGCACUGGUCUCCCUUAUUUGGAGGAUUCAUAAACUGGGGCUCAGAGAGACAAAACAUGACUUCCCCAAGGCCAAACUGUCUGACCUCACAUCUAGAACACUUCGCUGCCCCCUUACACAUUGUAAUGAAUGGCCUGGCCGAGGGUUUAGAAGACAGGCUACGGGGCUGUGACAGUUUUCCCUAAAUGUGUAACAGAGUGGGGUUUGGGCCACAUGAUCUCUAGGUCCUCUUCUGGCUCUGUGCUUCUAUGACUUGGAUUAAGAGAGGCAGAUGAACACCUCAAUAGAGGAAGACAGCCCAAUUUUUAAAAAUCAGAUUGACUUUUGCCAUUCAGGUCCAUUACCCCCUCCCUUUCCUAUAGCUGCCAGCUGUUCAAACCCUCUAAACCCUAACCUCUUUAGGCAAACCAAAUCUUGCCUAGAUGGCUGCACCUUCAGCCCAUCCUGCCUACCUCACAGGGGAGCGGAGCCAUGCAACACUAUUUUCGUGUAAGCUACCACCAGAAGCGUAAAGUCUUUGAGGUCUCAAGUCAAAUGGCCUAUAUUUGACAAGAGACCACACAUGAUCUGGACCUCAACCUCUUUCUAAAAAUGUGGCUCUCCCUGCCUAGUAGACAACUGGCCUCUGCUGAUUUUUAGUCUGCUUUGAGGCCAGUGUGAGGCUUUGCUUCCUCAGCAGCUGCUUCGAUAGAUUUUUAUUAAUAUAUUAAAUUUCUUGAAGAAUUUUCAUGACACAGAGAAAUGCAUAAGCCAUAAAGAGAAAAAACUUGCUGCAAUACUAUACCUACAGUAUAUGCAGGCUGCACCAAACCAGGAAAAAAAAACAGUGGUCAAACUCAGCGUGAUAAGAAGGCAGGCCCAGGGGACCCCUAGAAAUUGAAAGGGAAGAAUAGUGGAGGCCACAUCAAAGCACAGUGACAUUCUGAGAUCUUCUCUUAUGUAUUUAUUUCUGUGUAUACAUUUCCAAGUUUUCUAUAAUGAACUCAUAUUUCUUUCAUAAUCUAAUUUGAAAUGUCUAUCCUAGAAAACAAGGAGUUUAAAGGAGCUCCAGGCUUAGAGGCAAGGAAAAUUAACUAGGAGGAUAAAGAAGUGGGAGAUUGGCAAGAUAGAAGCUAGGGAUGGGCAGCUCCCUGGACAGGGCAGCCAGGCAGGAUGUCGAAUCUGGUGGCAGAAUAUCCAGCCCAUCCCAGGGCUCAGAGAGUUCCAGCUUCUUCUCUCCUCAUCCAGGGAGGCAGCAGAAUGGAAAACUAGAAAUGCUUUAGAGCAGGACAGACUGAGGCUCCAAUCCUCAUUCCGUUGCUUCUGAGCUAUGUGAUCUUGAGCAUAUUACUUAAGGUCUCUGAGCCUCGGAGUUUUGCCACCUAUAAAUGGGAGUCACUGAUACCUCAAAGUGUUUUGUAAGAGCUAAAUGGGAUAAAU